rnacentral:rRNA from 1 species
UACGAAGGGGGCUAGCGUUGUUCGGAAUUACUGGGCGUAAAGCGCGUGUAGGCGGGUCUUUUAAGUCAGGGGUGAAAUGCCAAGGCUCAACCUUGGAACUGCCUUUGAUACUGGAGAUCUUGAGUCCGGGAGAGGUGAGUGGAAUUGCGAGUGUAGAGGUGAAAUUCGUAGAUAUUCGCAAGAACACCGGUGGCGAAGGCGGCCAAACUGGACCAUUACUGACGCUGAGGCGCGAAAGCGUGGGGAGCAAACAGG